rnacentral:rRNA from 1 species
CAGUGGAACGCGAAAGGGACUUCGGUCCUGAGUAAAGUGGCGCACGGGUGAGUAACGCGUGGAUAAUCUACCCAAUGAUCUGGGAUAACAUCUCGAAAGGGGUGCUAAUACCGGAUAAGACCACGGAGUCUUCGGAUUCUGCGGUAAAAGGUGGGGACCUUCGGGCCUACCGUCAUCGGAUGAGUCCGCGUACCAUUAGCUAGUUGGUGGGGUAAUGGCCUACCAAGGCUACGAUGGUUAGCUGGUCUGAGAGGAUGAUCAGCCACACUGGAACUGAGACACGGUCCAGACUCCUACGGGAGGCAGCAGUGGGGAAUUUUGCGCAAUGGGGGAAACCCUGACGCAGCAACGCCGCGUGAGUGACGAAGGCUUUCGGGUCGUAAAGCUCUGUCAGAGGGGAAGAAAUGUAUAGGUGCUAAUACCGCUUAUACUUGACGGUACCCUCAAAGGAAGCACCGGCUAACUCCGUGCCACAA